GACGAACGCUGGCGGCGUGCUUAACACAUGCAAGUCGAACGGUGAAGCGCCUUCCUUUUUGGUGGGUGUGGAUGAGUGGCGAACGAGUGAGUAACACGUGAGUAACCUGCCCCCUUCUUCUGGAUAACCGCAUGAAAGUGUGGCUAAUACGGGAUAUUCUGGGUCUGUCGCAUGAUGGGUCUGGGAAAGAUAUUGUUUCGGUGGGGGAUGGGCUCGCGGCCUAUCAGCUUGUUGGUGGGGUGAUGGCCUACCAAGGCGGUGACGGGUAGCCGGCCUGAGAGGGUGGACGGUCACACUGGGACUGAGACACGGCCCAGACUCCUACGGGAGGCAGCAGUGGGGAAUAUUGCACAAUGGGCGCAAGCCUGAUGCAGCGACGCCGCGUGAGGGAUGGAGGCCUUCGGGUUGUGAACCUCUUUCGCCAGUGAAGCGGGCCUGCCUCGUUUGUGGGUGGGUUGACGGUAGCUGGAUAAGAAGCGCCGGCUAACUACGUG
rnacentral:rRNA from 1 species